UAAGAUUUUACUUGACUUUAUGCAAAUUAUAAAUUAUUGGGCCAAACUGAAAUAUCUAAGAUUUUGGACAAUUCUUAAAGAGUUUGAAAUGUAGAAUGUGAAAGUUUGGCGUUGAUUCGUAAAACUAUUUGCACACUUAGAAAUAUUGGGCCAACUUGAGAAUAACCAAAAGUUGGAGGGCAUGUGUUAAAAAUAUAUAAGAAAUCCUCAUUGUUGCUCGAUCUCUUCCAUGACGAGACAGAGACGACAAAGAUGAACACAACAGCGAGGCUUGAAUCCGUGCAUGACGAUGUCGACAGGGUGAGACGAUGGAGAUGGUCCGGUGACCGGCGAAGAAGAAGAAGACUUGAGGCAAAAACAUUUGUGGUGGCUCCGUCGAGAUGAACGAGGAAGACGAAGCAAGAUAGAGAUGAAGAAGUGAAACUUGAAGCGAUCAGUAGGAAAG
rnacentral:lncRNA from 1 species